rnacentral:rRNA from 1 species
AUGUAUCCACUUUGUUUUGGAAUUUUUGAUUCCGAAACAAAUGAGAACUGGAUCUGGUUCAUGCAAUUGCUUAGGCAAGCCAUAGGAUCGCCAAGGGGUUUAGCCAUAAGCACUGAUGCUGGGCAGGCGGUGAUGACAGGGGUAAAGGAAGUUUUCCCAGAGGUAGAACAUAGGGAAUGCAUGUUUCACUUGGUGUCAAACUUCAAGAAAAAGUAUCACGGAAAGGUAUUUGAUGACCAUCUUUGGGCUGCUGCUUACUCAUGGAACAAGUAUAUAUUUGAGAAAAAUUGGGUUGCAAUGGAGACAGCAAAGCCAGCGACAACUACAUAA